rnacentral:rRNA from 1 species
GACGAACCGUGCGAACGUUGUUCGGAAUCACUGGGCUUAAAGGGCGCGUAGGCGGGCCCUCAAGUCCGGGGUGAAAUCCUCCCGCUUAACGGGAGAAGAGCCUCGGAGACUGAGGGCCUCGAGGGAGGUAGGGGCGUGCGGAACUAUGGGUGGAGCGGUGAAAUGCAUUGAUAUCCAUAGGAACUCCGGUGGCGAAGGCGGCACGCUGGACCUCUUCUGACGCUGAGGCGCGAAAGCCAGGGGAGCAAACGGG